rnacentral:misc_RNA from 1 species
AGCUGCCAUUCAUUUCAAUUGGAAUUCGAAACUUGACAAAUAAUACAUACAAUUUCAGUACUAUUGACCUAAUAUUCAUAGUUAGAUACUAUCAAUUACGUUGUUAAAAUUAUAUCUAGCAUAUAAGAUAGUGUACAAUGAUUUCCUUUUAACUCGACUAUAUAGAUGCAUUUUAGCAGAUGAUGGAAUGAAAUUGCUACAACAAGAUAAAAAUAAAUAAAUAAAUAA